rnacentral:rRNA from 1 species
GAAUGAUAAGUCUGAUGUGAAAGCCCACGGCUCAACCGUGGAACUGCAUCGGAAACUGUCAUUCUUGAGUGCAGAAGAGGAGAGUGGAACUCCAUGUGUAGCGGUGGAAUGCGUAGAUAUAUGGAAGAACACCAGUGGUGAAGGCGGCUCUCUGGUCUGCAACUGACGCUGAGGCUCGAAAGCAUGGGUAGCGAACAGGAU